UCAUGCAGGAAAGGAAUCCAACUUUGUGAAGAGGCAGACUAACAACUUGGGGACUCCCUACGACUUCAACUCCGUCAUGCAGUACAGCAAAUACUCCUUCUCCAACAACGGCUUGCCAACCAUCUCCGCUAUCGGCAAUCCUAACCUUGAGUUUGGAAAGGCUAAACAACUGAGCAUCAAUGACAUCGCCCGCAUUAACAAGCUUUACGGAUGCUGUAAGUACAACAUUUACUGUAUUCUCUAAAAGUGUAAAACACAGUGAAUACAUUCAUCUACUGAUUAGGCUCAGAUGGAACGGCACAACAAGGAAAAAUAAGUGGGUGACAUUUAUAUAUACGUAUAUCUGAGAUAUUAAUCAGAAUCUCAUUUUCUUUUUCAUAAAACCUUCCAGAAGUUGUAGCAGCUCGUCGGAGAGAUGGAAGAACAUGGUGGGGGAUGAAUGCAUUUUUCCUGAAGGAGGACUACUUACCUAUUUAUCUUUUUAACCAUUUGUGAUUUGAUUGUAAUCAUAUACUCACUUCUUCGAUGAUUUUAAAAUAGAAACUUUAAUAUUUGGUCAAAUAAAUGGGAGCUGGGAGCAUCA